rnacentral:rRNA from 1 species
AUUGAACGCUGGCGGCAGGCCUAACACAUGCAAGUCGAACGAGUGGCGGACGGGUGAGUAAUGUCUGGGAAACUGCCCGAUGGAGGGGGAUAACUACUGGAAACGGUAGCUAAUACCGCAUACCAUCGGAUGUGCCCAGAUGGGAUUAGCUUGUAGGUGAGGUAACGGCUCACCUAGGCGACGAUCCCUAGCUGGUCUGAGAGGAUGACCAGCCACAUGGGAAAUGAGACCCGGUCCAGACUCCGCCGGGAGGCAGCAGUGGGGAAUAUUGAACAAUGGGCGAAAGCCUGAUACAUCCAUGACGCGUGUAUGAAGAAGGCCUUCGGGUUGUAAAGUCCUUGCAGCGGGGAGGCGUUACCCUCAGAAGAAUCACCGGCUAACUCCGUGCCAGCAGCCGCGGUAAUUC